CCAACUCCAAACUUACGAACGCCGCUGACGCAGGGAGUCCGGUGCGCGGGGUAAGCCUGUGUACCGUGAGGGAGACAACCCAGAGCUGGGUUAAGGUCCCCAAGUGUGGACUAAGUGCGAUCGAAGGUGGUUCCGAGCCCUAGACAGCCGGGAGGUGAGCUUAGAAGCAGCUACCCUCUAAGAAAAGCGUAACAGCUUACCGGCCGAGGUUCGGAGCGCCCAAAAUGAUCGGGGCUCAAGUCCACCACCGAGACCUAGCGGCAUCCUUUACCGGAUGAUCCCGUAGGUCGGCGUUCUGUUCGGGUGGAAGCACGGCUGAGAAGUCGUGUGGACCGUUCAGUAACGAAAAUCCUGGUCAUAGUAGCAGCGUUAGUCGGGUUAGACCCCCGACGGCCGAACGAGUAAGGGUUCCUCAGCAAUGCUGAUCAGCUGAGGGUUAGCCGGUCCUAAGUCCCCCCGUAAUUCGAAGGGGACAACAGGGAAACAGGUUAAUAUUCCUGUGCCAGUGUGCANCAAAGCCGACGCUUUGGGGCCGCCUCUGCUGGGCCUUCGCCCAGUCGAACAGUCGAAGAUCGUGGAAGCCGUAAUGGCACGAAGCGAUCGAAUGGCUGGAUAGCGUAAGAGAGGUCAACCCAGAGCCCGUGAAAAGGCGAGCACACUGUCCGUACCGAGAUCCGACACAGGUACUCAUGGCGGCGAAAGCCAAGGUCUGUCGGGAGUAACCGACGUUAGGGAAUUCGGCAAGUUAGUCCCGUACCUUCGGAAGAAGGGAUGCCUGCCCCGCAAAGGGGCAGGUCGCAGUGACUCGGACGCUCCGACUGUCUAGUAACAACAUAGGUGACCGCAAAUCCGUAAGGACUCGUACGGUCACUGAAUCCUGCCCAGUGCGGGUAUCUGAACCCCCCUUACAAGGGGACGAAGGACCCGUUAACGGCGGGGGUAACUAUGACCCUCUUAAGGUAGCGUAGUACCUUGCCGCUUCAGUAGCGGCUUGCAUGAAUGGAUCAACGAGAGCGUCACUGUCCCAACGUUGGGCCCGGUGAACUGUACGUUCCAGUGCGGAGUCUGGAGACCCCCAAGGGGAAGCGAAGACCCUAUAGAGCUUUACUGCAGGCUGUCACUGAGACGUGGUCGCCAUUGUGCAGCAUAGGUAGGAGGCGUUACACAGGUAGCCGCGCUAGCGGCUCACCGAGCCAGCAUUGAAAUACUACCCGAUGGUGACUGCGACUCUCACUCCUGGCGGAGGACACUGGUAGCCGGGCAGUUUGACUGGGGCGGUACGCGCUUGAAAAGAUAUCGAGCGCGCCCCAAGGUUUCCUCACCCGAGUCGGAGACUCGGGAAAGAGCGCAAGAGCAAACGGAAGCCUGACAGUGUCCGGCACAACGACGGACGCUGACGCGAAAGCGUGGUCUAGCGAACCAAUCAUCCUGCUUGAUGCGGGAGAUUGCUGACAAAAAAGCUACCUUAGGGAUAACAGAGUCGUCACCCGCAAGAGCACAUAUCGACCGGGUGGCUUGCUACCUCGAUGUCGGUUCCCUCCAUCCUGCCCGUGCAGAAGCGGGCAAGGGUGAGGUUGUUCGCCUAUUAAAGGAGGUCGUGAGCUGGGUUUAGACCGUCGUGAGACAGGUCGGCUGCUAUCUAUUGGGGGUGUUACGGUAUCUGACGGGAACGUUCGUAUAGUACGAGAGGAACUACGAAUGGGUGCCACUCGUGUACCGGCUGUNCUAUCUAUUGGGGGUGUUACGGUAUCUGACGGGAACGUUCGUAUAGUACGAGAGGAACUACGAAUGGGUGCCACUCGUGUACCGGCUGUCCGAGAGGGCACGCGCCGGGCAGCGACGCACCACGGGGUAAGAGCUGAACGCAUCUAAGCUCGAAACCCACCUGGAAAAGAGAUACCACCG
rnacentral:rRNA from 1 species